rnacentral:misc_RNA from 1 species
UCCGGUUUAUCACCGGCAGUCUCCCUAGAGUCCCCACCAUUACGUGCUGGCAACUAAGGACAAGGGUUGCGCUCGUUACGGGACUUAACCCAACAUCUCACGACACGAGCUGACGACAGCCAUGCAGCACCUGUCACUCGGUUCCCGAAGGCACCAAUCCAUCUCUGGAAAGUUCCGAGGAUGUCAAGGGCUGGUAAGGUUUUUCGCGUUGCAUCGAAUUAAACCACAUGCUCCACCGCUUGUGCGGGCCCCCGUCAAUUCUUUUGAGUUUUAGCCUUGCGGCCGUACUCCCCAGGCGGGACACUUAACGCGUUAACUGCGGCACAGAGGGAUUCGACUCCCCCCACACCUAGUGUCCAUCGGUUACGGCUAGGACUAC